UUGCUUUGCGAAUAACAAGAUAUUAUUAUCAGAUAGCGAAUGCAGUUGCACUUCCAAUGCAGUUGAGGAAAUAGUGUCACAGUGAGCAAUGAGUCAAUUAUCAUUCGUGAUUAGAUUUUAUUAGACAAUUGGCCACGUUAUUCUACAAAUUCCAGUUAAUAUUGCUAGAUGAAUUGCGUAUAUGCCAUUUUGAGUUUAAUUUAAAAGUGCAUAGGAAGAUCCAUCAGUUUGAGAUUUUCCAGACGAAUUUUCUGAUUUCUCAACCUUGACCUAUACCUAAGGGGAUGAGAGUAACCUUUCUACGUAACUCAGGCACUAGUUUUUAGGUCCCAGAGGUGAUAGAAUGGUCAUGAUUCUAAUGGAAGAAUUUUCUAGUGCUCUUUCAUAAUUACUUCAUCAUCAACCACUGUUCUGCUUUUUGAAGGAGGUUCAAGGACAACAAAAAUCUACCUGAAAAUGUCUUCAAUUUCCUUCCAGUUUAUGUUGUAAGAUUAGUAAUACUAUAAUUGUAACAAUGAUUAUCAACAUAUUUCACAUCAA